GGGGGGGGGGGGGGGGGGGGGGCGGGCGUGCAGGGCGGGCGGGCGGGGGGGAGGCGGGGGUGUGUGAGGUUAGCGGCGGGCUGGGGGGUACCACGUUGAUCACCUACCUAGCAGCCUGGUAUCACUGCGGGAAACCGGAGCUAAUACCGGGUACUAUUUUGAACCGCAUGGUUCAACAGGUGAAGACGGUGUUGCGUUCACUUAUCGAUGGCUCCGCGCUGCAUUAGCUAGUUGGUAAGUUAACGGCUUACCAAGGCAACGUUGCAUAGCCGCCCUGUGAGGGUGUUCGGCCACACGGGAACUAAGACACGGUCACGACUCCUCAGGGAGGCCGCAGUAGGGAAUCUUCCGCAAUGGGCGAAAGCCUGACGGAGCAACGCCGCGUGAGUGAUGAAGGUCUUCGGAUCGUAAACCUCUGUUAUUAGGGAAGAGAAUAUGUGUAAGUAACUGUGCACAUCUGGACGGUACCUAAUCAGAAAGCCACGGCUAACUACGUG
rnacentral:rRNA from 1 species